GAGUAAUGCAUAGGUAACGUGCCCCUUAGUCUGGGAUAGCCACUGGAAACGGUGAUUAAUACCGGAUACUCCUUCUCUCUUAAUGAGAGUUGGGAAAGUUUUUCGCUAAGGGAUCGGCCUAUGUUGUAUCAGGUAGUUGGUGAGGUAAUGGCUCACCAAGCCUAUGACACAUAGCGGGUCUGAGAGGAUGAUCCGCCACACUGGUACUGAGACACGGACCAG
rnacentral:rRNA from 1 species